rnacentral:rRNA from 1 species
GAUGAACGCUGGCGGCGUGCCUAAUACAUGCAAGUCGAGCGAACAGACGAGGAGCUUGCUCCUCUGACGUUAGCGGCGGACGGGUGAGUAACACGUGGAUAACCUACCUAUAAGACUGGGAUAACUUCGGGAAACCGGAGCUAAUACCGGAUAAUAUAUUGAACCGCAUGGUUCAAUAGUGAAAGACGGUUUUGCUGUCACUUAUAGAUGGAUCCGCGCCGCAUUAGCUAGUUGGUAAGGUAACGGCUUACCAAGGCAACGAUGCGUAGCCGACCUGAGAGGGUGGUCGGCCACACUGGAACUGGGACACGGUCCAGACUCCUACGGGAGGCAGCAGUAGGGAAUCGUCCGCAAUGGGCGAAAGCCUGACGGAGCAACGCCGCGUGAGUGAUGAAGGUCUUCGGAUCGUAAAACUCUGUUAUUAGGGAAGAACAAAUGUGUAAGUAACUAUGCACGUCUUGACGGUACCUAAUCAGAAAGCCACGGCUAACUACGUG